rnacentral:rRNA from 1 species
GACGAACGCUGGCGGCGUGCUUAACACAUGCAAGUCGAACGGAAAGGCCCUGCUUUUGUGGGGUGCUCGAGUGGCGAACGGGUGAGUAACACGUGAGUAACCUGCCCUUGACUUUGGGAUAACUUCAGGAAACUGGGGCUAAUACCGGAUAGGAGCUCCUGCUGCAUGGUGGGGGGUGGAAAGUUUCGGCGGUGGGGGAUGGACUCGCGGCUUAUCAGCUUGUUGGUGGGGUAGUGGCUUACCAAGGCUUUGACGGGUAGCCGGCCUGAGAGGGUGACCGGCCACAUUGGGACUGAGAUACGGCCCAGACUCCUACGGGAGGCAGCAGUGGGGAAUAUUGCACAAUGGGCGGAAGCCUGAUGCAGCAACGCCGCGUGCGGGAUGACGGCCUUCGGGUUGUAAACCGCUUUCGCCUGUGACGAAGCGUGAGUGACGGUAAUGGGUAAAGAAGCACCGGCUAACUACGUG